AGUAUAUAAGCGGCAUCGCAUACGCCUACCACAAGCCAUAAUUCGACCAAUCACAAUCAUCAUCGAAGAAAUUACGCGAAAAUAUAAUUCUUAUGUAUUGAGUGCUGUUUACUGCAUCUUUAUUUUUGUGUUAAUUUGUUUUAGUAUAAGUAUACAUUGAUAAUAUAUUUACAAUAUCAUAUGUUUUAAUAUUUCCAAAUUUACAAUGUAAACUAGUCGUGUAUAUUUAUAUAUUUUUAUUACAAAAUCAUCAAAGGAAUGAAUGUCAUUUAUAAUUUCUAUAUGUGAUGCUGUAUUGCUUAGCAUUUAUGAUCAACUUUUAUGUUUACAUAAACACUCAUUUAUUAAAACCUAAAACACAAUGCUCUUGAGUCGCAUUUAUAAAAUUUCAAGGAUCGGCUUUAAAUACGGACAUAAGGAAGUAAGACGUAAACAGUAAGAAUUUUAUCCUUAUGAAUUUUUUCAUCGUUCAUCUUACAUUUAACAUUAGAAAAUAUAGGGACGAAUAAUUGGCUACAAUUAAUGGAUUUUCUUAUAUCUUACAUCAAUGGAAAGGCCUAACAGUUACUGUAUUGUCAGAAAGUGUAUGUGAAAAUCCUAAAGGUUAAGUUAGAGACGCUACAACGUAUCAUAAGGAUGGGGUUUCUUUCGAGUCUUUCUACAGAACAUGAAGAACAAUUAGAAGUAAAUGACGGGCAUGAAUGUUCGCAAAAUGAAAACAAAUUAACAAUGCCCUCAAAUAUUGUAACAAUUUAUCGCAAACAGAAGGUUGUUUUAACAAAAAUAUCUUCUAACGAAAUAAAUUCCAUUGCUAUGGAAUAAGUAAUCUGUAAAGAUUAUCAACAUUAUGAGAGAAAUUAUUAUAAAAAAUGAUUUGGUAUUGUUCAAUGAAAAUAAUUCGAAAGGAAUUUACGUAAAAAUAAAAAUUAAAGAAAAUGAAGAUUAUGAGUCUCCAUUCUAUGAGCAUAUUUCUUUGGAAUACGGAAGGUGAGAAUUGUUUCUCUUGAAGCUCAUCUAUAAUUAUCUUUAGUAACUAUUUAUAAAAAAAGUAAGCACUUAAAUAGAAAAUAAUAUCACAAAUAGAGAAAAAUGUGAAGAAUAAUGGAACAUGCUAUAAAUGAUCGCAUAUUGACAAACUUUUAAUCUUUUUAAAGAAACUGGUAAGCUUAUUGUUUUAUCUACCCAAAAAGGAAUAAAUAAAAAUAAAUCUAUUUCUAAAAGUAUGUACAAUAUAUUAAUUUUUAAUUUUAAUGGAUGAUUAAUCAGACAAUCCAGCAAUAAGCAAUGAUAAUGGUAUAAAUAAGAUAAAACUAGAAAAAAGAAAGUUUUGAUUAUAUAAUAAUAAUAAUAAUAAUAAUAAUAAUAAUAAUAAUAAUAAUAAUAAUAAUAAUAAUAAUAAUAAUAAUAAUAAUAAUAUUGAAUGAAACAAUAAAAACUGGGCCUGAAUGGAACAUGCGAUUUCCAAAUUUAUGGUACUGCAUUUAACUAUUGCUAGCAUAUGUUGAUAUUUGACAAAUGAUUUGUCUCUAGCACUAAAACAGUAUGGUAUAAUUCAAACAAUUUCUUAUUAAAAACUGAGUAGUGCAUUGCAUUCAUAUAGCAUUCGUUAUUUCUAUAUCAAUAAUACAUUCUUUAUUUUCCAUUGAUUAGGUCAAAUCUGAAAUUUUGUUUGUUUUGAUUUUUGAAACAAAUUGUUCCUUAUAUUGUCACGUAUUUUACUGUUUUGCUCUAUGUUGUGAGUGAUCUUGUCUCUUAUUGCAUUUCCCAGUGUAGUAAUUUGUGAAUGAAAUAUUGUAUAGAGAUAUUGUACAAAUGUUGUAACAUGUUCCAAUUAAGCUUUUGUGGAGGAUCCAAUUGGUUUUCUUAUUGCUAGUGUUAGUAUUGUUGGUCUUCUUAAUCUUACCAAAUCAAAUAGUCUGUAUUCUCAUUUGGCACCAAAUUAAAACGCAUGAAAUGGAUACAAAAAGGACAAUAAAUUUUAUAACAAUAGUCAUUAAUAAUUAUUAAUAGUCUACAAUAAUUAAUAAUUAUCAAAUACUUGAUACAUUAUCAUUUAAGCUUAAUCUGCAAAUAUAGAACCACUUUUGACGUAUAGUUAAAUCCUUUAGAAAACUGAAAUUGAUUAUAUAUUGCUAUUAUUUAUUAGAAGAAAUUUAUUAAAUAAUAUAAAUAUUUCUUAUACACCUAUCUGUAGAAUGAAAUAAUUUCUAUUUUUUAUAUUUUUCAAUCAUGCAUAAUUUAGGCAUUUUCAUACAAAAAAUCUGUAAUAUAUUUUAAUAAUAUAAUACAAAAAUUAUUAAAAAUUUUUAAGAAUAUAUUAAAUUAAUAAGUUUCUUAUUACUUUAAUCAAUGUUUUAGCCAGUUUUAGGACAAAAGUUAGCUUAUUUUCUUUUAUUGAAAAAAUUGUUACAUAUGCGUAUAACCAACAAAUAAUAUAUUUCCGGUAUUUUUUGACCACAAAUAGCAGUAUAUGUCUCAUAUAUGAGUAUAUAUGAUAUAUAAUAAUAAUGUUCUGCCCACAGGUUCUUCUCGACCUUCAAUGUAUAUAUUUGAUAUAAUAAUCUUUUUUAUGCAAGUACUUAUUAUAGAAUCAAAAAAAAAAAAUUUUUUUUACCUCAGAUGGCAUUUGUAACUACAAUUAUCGAUAAAGUUUGAAAGUUGUGUCUCUCAAAUGUAGUGUUCAAUAGAUAUUUCCAUUUUUAUAUAAAAUAUAGAGAAUAAUUAAUUUAUUUUAAGUAUCUCUAUCAUUAUAUAUGUAAAACAUAUUCACGAAUAGAUUGUAAACUUAUUUGUAAUUAACAAACACUUCAACACAAAAUAUACAUUUCAUGAUUGUUAGUUUUAUAAUAAUUAGUUAUAGCAAAUAGAAUAGAGCACAGCGUAUUUUCCUAUUCAAUGACAAACUGUGCAUAUACACGAAAAUACACGUAUUAAUAUAAUUAUAA